rnacentral:rRNA from 1 species
CCUACGGGAGGCAGCAGUGAGGAAUAUUGGUCAAUGGGCGCGAGCCUGAACCAGCCAAGUCGCGUGAGGGAUGAAGGUUCUAUGGAUCGUAAACCUCUUUUAUAAGGGAAUAAAGUGUGGGACGUGUCCUAUUUUGUAUGUACCUUAUGAAUAAGGAUCGGCUAACUCCGUGCCAGCAGCCGCGGUAAUACGGAGGAUCCGAGCGUUAUCCGGAUUUAUUGGGUUUAAAGGGUGCGUAGCUGGCGUUUUAAGUCAGCGGUGAAAGUCUGUGGCUCAACCAUAGAAUUGCCGUUGAAACUGGGAGGCUUGAGUAUGUUUGAGGUAGGCGGAAUGCGUGGUGUAGCGGUGAAAUGCUUAGAUAUCACGAAGAACCCCGAUUGCGAAGGCAGCCUGCCAAGCCAUGACUGACACUGAUGCACGAAAGCGUGGGGAUCAAACAGGAUUAGAUACCCUGGUAGUC